rnacentral:rRNA from 1 species
AGUGAACGCUGGCGGUAGGCCUAACACAUGCAAGUCGAACGGCAGCACAGUAAGAGCUUGCUCUUACGGGUGGCGAGUGGCGGACGGGUGAGGAAUACAUCGGAAUCUACUUUUUCGUGGGGGAUAACGUUGGGAAACUUACGCUAAUACCGCAUACGACCUACGGGUGAAAGCAGGGGAUCUUCGGACCUUGCGCGAUUGAAUGAGCCGAUGUCGGAUUAGCUAGUUGGCGGGGUAAAGGCCCACCAAGGCGACGAUCCGUAGCUGGUCUGAGAGGAUGAUCAGCCACACUGGAACUGAGACACGGUCCAGACUCCUACGGGAGGCAGCAGUGGGGAAUAUUGGACAAAGGGCGCAAGCCUGAUCCAGCCAUACCGCGUGGGUGAAGAAGGCCUUCGGGUUGUAAAGCCCUUUUGUUGGGAAAGAAAAGCAGCAGGUUAAUACCCCGCUGUUCUGACGGUACCCAAAGAAUAAGCACCGGCUAACUUCGUG